rnacentral:rRNA from 1 species
GACGAACGCUGGCGGCGUGCUUAACACAUGCAAGUCGAACGGAAAGGCCCUGCUUUUGUGGGGUGCUCGAGUGGCGAACGGGUGAGUAACACGUGAGUAACCUGCCCUUGACUUUGGGAUAACUUCAGGAAACUGGGGCUAAUACCGGAUAGGAUCUCCUGCUGCAUGGAGGGGGUUGGAAAGUUUCGGCGGUUGGGGAUGGACUCGCGGCUUAUCAGCUUGUUGGUGGGGUAGUGGCUUACCAAGGCUUUGACGGGUAGCCGGCCUGAGAGGGUGACCGGCCACAUUGGGCCUGAGAUACGGCCCAGACUCCUACGGGAGGCAGCAGUGGCGAAUAUUGCACAGUGGGAGCAAGCCUGAUGCAGAAACGCCGCGUGCGGGAUGACGGCCUUCGGGUUGUAAACCGCUUUCGCCUGUGACGAAGCGUGAGUGACGGUAAUGGGUAAAGAAGCACCGGCUAACUACGUG